UGCCCCUGUCAACGGGCAAAGAGACACUUGUUGGCAGUGGUAUUCCUAUGUCAGCCGGAGGCAGAACAGGUGGCAGUCCUCUGCUCAGCCUAGCUUGGUGCUUGACUUAGUGGCCAAAGAUAUUUUAUGCCUAGGACACAUAA